rnacentral:rRNA from 1 species
UACGUAGGGUGCAAGCGUUGUCCGGAAUUAUUGGGCGUAAAGAGCUCGUAGGCGGUUUGUUGCGUCGGCUGUGAAGUCCCGAGGCUCAACCUCGGGUCUGCAGUCGAUACGAGCAAACUAGAGUGUUGCAGGGGAGACUGGAAUUCCUGGUGUAGUGGUGAAAUGCGUAGAGAUCAGGAGGAACACCGGUGGCGAAGGCGGCCUACUGGGCUGUCACUGGACGCUGAGGCGCGAAAGCUCGGGGAGCGAACGGG